AAUGUAAUAAUUACAACUUUCAACAACGGAUCUCUUGGUUCUGGCAUCGAUGAAGAACGCAGCGAAAUGCGAUACGUAGUGUGAAUUGCAGAAUUCAGUGAAUCAUCGAAUCUUUGAACGCACAUUGCGCCCUUUGGUAUUCCAAAGGGCAUG
rnacentral:rRNA from 1 species